rnacentral:rRNA from 1 species
UACGUAGGGUGCGAGCGUUGUCCGGAAUUACUGGGCGUAAAGAGCUCGUAGGUGGUUUUGUCGCGUUGUUCGUGAAAAACCGGGGGGCUUAACCCCUCGGCGUGCGGGGCGAUACGGGCAGACUUGAGUACUGCAGGGGAGACUGGAAUUCCUGGUGUAGCGGUGGAAUGCGCAGAUAUCAGGAGGAACACCGGUGGCGAAGGCGGGUCUCUGGGCAGUAACUGACGCUGAGGAGCGAAAGCGUGGGAGCGAACAGG